GACAGAGGAUGCAAGCGUUAUCCGGAAUGAUUGGGCGUAAAGCGUCUGUAGGUGGCUUUUUAAGUCUGCCGUCAAAUCCCAGGGCUUAACCCUGGACAGGCGGUGGAAACUACCAAGCUGGAGUACGGUAGGGGCAGAGGGAAUUUCCGGUGGAGCGGUGAAAUGCGUAGAGAUCGGAAGAACACCGGUGGCGAAAGCGCUCUGCUAGGCCGCAACUGACACUGAGGGACGAAAGCUAGGGGAGCGAAUGGG
rnacentral:rRNA from 1 species